AUAUCAUAUAUUCAAUAAUUCACACAAACUUAUCUAUGCAGACCUAAGAUAUAAAUAUUCUUUAUUAUCAAAUUACCAACCAAAUGUGUAAUAUAUAUAUAUUAUCCGAUAAACAUCAUUCUCUGAUACCUUAAGCUUCUGGAAGAUAGCAAUUAGUUCAUUUAAUUUAACAUGGUGUUUGAGCAGGAGUUCAUGAGUUCGAAUUCCGCCAGAUUUCUAAUAUGUUAUAUCUUUGUAAUUAAAAGUUGGCGAGAGAAAGUACAAAUGGAAUGAGUCCGCCUACUAUACUCUUAUAAGUAUAGACUCCGUCGUACUCAUAAUUAAUAUUUCGGUUUAGAGCAAGUGACAAAAAGUUUGGUGGUUGGUACCCGAGGUCCCAAGUUCGAAUCCUAAUUAAUUCACAUUUCUAGCUAAGUUUAUUUCUAAAUAAAAUAAACAAAACGGGUAGCGUGCUACUUAUUUCUCAAAAAAAAGUAUUUCGGCCAUUAGAUCUACCCUCCACUAUCAUCCUAAUAGCACAUUACUUUAUCCAAACGGUCAAAAAUUUAUAAGUAGAAAAAAAAAAUUAUACUCAUAAAUAAGAGUAUAGCAGCACUAGUCCAUAUGGAAUUAUCUCU
rnacentral:lncRNA from 1 species